AGGAUUGACAGAUUGAGAGCUCUUUCUUGAUUCUGUGGGUGGUGGUGCAUGGCCGUUCUUAGUUGGUGGAGCGAUUUGUCUGGUUAAUUCCGAUAACGAACGAGACUCUGGCUUGCUAAAUAGUUACGCGACCGACUCGGUCGGCGUCAAACUUCUUAGAGGGACUAGUGGCGUAUAGCCACACGAGAUUGAGCAAUAACAGGUCUGUGAUGCCCUUAGAUGUUCGGGGCCGCACGCGCGCUACACUGACCGGAUCAGCGAGUGCUCGCCUUGGCCGACAGGCCUGGGUAACCCGUUGAACCCCGGUCGUGAUAGGGAUAGGGAAUUGCAAUUGUUUCCCUUGAACGAGGAAUUCCCAGUAAGCGCGAGUCAUUAGCUCGCGUUGAUUACGUCCCUGCCCUUUGUAAAA
rnacentral:rRNA from 1 species